UAGCUUUGUUGCGGCUUUCAUUUACAAGUGAUCUGGAAUAUACUGGUUUAAUACAUGAUUUCUCAACAUCUGGCGAGACUACCAGUUCUUAGACUCGUCAAGAUUGGUCUUCAUCAAUUUCCACUCUUCACCUCAAAUUAUCCACAUGAUCGGGUGUACAGAGUGUCCCAAUAUUGCCUUCCCUCAAGGCAGUUAAAUUUCUCUCCACUUAGCAGUUCAGCACAUGUAAUUGGGUAAACAUGUGUGACAUGUUCUUUUUCAUCUCC
rnacentral:lncRNA from 1 species